UGGUUUGAUCUUUCAAUUAAAAUGGAUUUUAAACUAAUUCUAGUCUUCGCGAUACUAGUAAUAAGCAUUACUUUUACCAAUGCAGUACCAGUAAAGAGCUUAAAGAAUGAGGAUAAUGAUGACUCAUUGUUGAAGAAGCGAAGCGCAUUAGCUCAAGGCGGCGAAGAUACCUUCCACUGGCAAGAUCCACCACCUUUUAGUGAAGAUUAUUGAAAGCAAUCGACGAAGGAUUUCGACACCGAUUUACUACUUGGAAAGGAGUAGGGUCUGUUUAGAUAGGAAAAAUAUGCAGUCGCUGUUGACUGAUUAAAUUAAAUAAUCUAUGAAUUAAUUAUAAACCAGUUAAGUUGAUGA